rnacentral:rRNA from 1 species
GGUGAGUAACACGUGGAUAACCUACCUAUAAGACUGGGAUAACUUCGGGAAACCGGAGCUAAUACCGGAUAAUAUAUUGAACCGCAUGGUUCAAUAGUGAAAGACGGUUUUGCUGUCACUUAUAGAUGGAUCCGCGCCGCAUUAGCUAGUUGGUAAGGUAACGGCUUACCGAGGCAACGAUGCGUAGCCGACCUGAGAGGGUGAUCGGCCACACUGGAACUGAGACACGGUCCAG